UCCUGAACACAAAGUUCUCUUCUUAUUUCAGAAGCUAAGGAGGGUCAGGCCUGGUUAGAACUUGGAUGGGAGACCACCGGAGAUCUCCAGGUAGGUCAAGAA
rnacentral:rRNA from 1 species